UCAAGUCCAGAACCUGAGGGAGUUU
rnacentral:piRNA from 1 species